rnacentral:pre_miRNA from 14 species
CCACUCUGAGCACUCUGGCUUUAACUCUGAAAGAAAUGGACAGUCAUUGCAGGGUUUUGAGCAAAGGAGUGACGUGAUCUGA